rnacentral:rRNA from 1 species
UACGUAGGGGGCUAGCGUUGUCCGGAAUCAUUGGGCGUAAAGCGCACGUAGGCGGUUCGUUAUGUCGGAUGUGAAAGCCCUUGGCUUAACCGAGGAAGUGCAUCCGAAACUGGCGAGCUAGAGUACGAAAGAGGAUCGCGGAAUUCCCGGUGUAGAGGUGAAAUUCGUAGAUAUCGGGAGGAACACCGGUGGCGAAGGCGGCGAUCUGGGUCGAUACUGACGCUGAGGUGCGAAAGCGUGGGGAGCAAACAGG